UACGGAGGGGGCUAGCGUUGCUCGGAAUCACUGGGCGUAAAGCGCACGUAGGCGGAUUGCUAAGUCAGGGGUGAAAUCCUGGAGCUCAACUCCAGAACUGCCCUUGAUACUGGCGGGCUUGAGACCGGGAGAGGAGGGUGGAAUACCCAGUGUAGAGGUGAAAUUCGUAGAUAUUGGGUGGAACACCGGUGGCGAAAGCGGCUCUCUGGCCCGGAUCUGACGCUGAGGCGCGAAAGCGUGGGGAGCAAACAGG
rnacentral:rRNA from 1 species